ACACAUUUAUGUAUUUACGCUGGUUACCGUGUACUGUUGUGAAGAACAACGAGAACAACAUAAAAAUAUUGUGUGAUCUCGGGAAAAUUUAAGCAAAUUAUAGAAAAGUGCAAUUAAAUUUUACCUUCUUCAAGGAUGUUAUCAAAAUUUGUAGUCAUAGCCUCAUUGUGCAGCCUCUUUUUAUUUAUGUACGGACUCCUCAUAAACAUAACAAAAAUAGAAGAAAAUCGAUGUCGAAUGAGUUAUAUGUACGAGUAUCCUCAAUUUGUGAAAAUUAGUUUCCCGGAAAAUGAUAACUUCCCUGCGUAUGGACUUUACGCAUACUCGGAGGGUCAACUGGCUCAAAAAACCAGGAAUAUGCAGUUUACUGGAGCUCCAGUGAUUUUUGUUCCGGGCAACGCGGGAUCCUACAAGCAAGCUCGUUCACUGGCGUCGGUGGCCCUGCGUAAAGGAAUAGAUAAUGGACUUCGGCAUCAUCUGGACUACUUUACCGUUGACCUAAAUGAACAGUACUCCGGACUGUAUGGAGGUGUCUUGAAUAAUCAAGUUGAGUUCGUACGGAUCUGUGUGCAACAUGUUUUAAGAUUAUACAAAAUCGUUCCGGGUGGACCCACGUCAGUCAUAUUGAUUGGGCAUUCCAUGGGUGGUAAAAUAGCUCAGGCGGCGGCGGUUUUACCGGAAAUGGCGCCAUUAAUCAAUUCAAUUCUUGCCAUAUCUUCGCCGAUGGACGUUCCUGUGCUUUCUUUGGAUCACUAUUUCCAGUAUUUCUACAAUUCGGUAAAUACCCAAUGGAAGCUCAACAGGACUGUUUGUGCAUCCUCCUACAAAGCUUCACGUCUAAAGGUUGAAGAUGAUUAUUGCUUACCAUCGGUAAAAGAUUCAAGACAACUAGACCACAUUUUGCUGGUAACGAUAGGAGGAGGUAACCGCGAUACAAUGGUACACGACAGUUUAACCAACUCCAUAUUCAGCGACGUACAUUCCAUGGUAAGUCUGAUAUAUGAGAGUAGUAUUUUGUUCCGCCUUCAUCCGUAACAUUUUACUUCUCAAAUAAUUUCAACAUGAUUAUCAUUACUUUUGUAGCAUUGAGGCAUAAUUUUAUAGCAUUGCACAGUGGUCCAGAAUGCAGAUUUAGGUGGAAUCAGGGUUGCUUCCACUCACUUGCUAUAAAAAAAUAAUUUUCGGAAUUAUGCAAUCAUUAGAUGAUAUAAUGAUAUGUUGUACUUGUAAGUGACAAGAAGAGGGUGUAAAGUAUGUGUUUGACUCAUAAAACCUGUCAAUUCCACUUUCAGAGCGUCACAAUCAGCGAUCUUAUGAUUCGUGAGCGUUCACUCAGAGUGAGCGCUCACGAGUCGUAAAAUCGCUGAUUGUGACGCACUGAAAGCAAUAUUGACAGAUGUUAUGUGUCAAAUAUACAAUUCAUGACCUCUUCUUGUAACUUACAAGUACUAAUUAGCAUUAUACUAUUUCAUGAUUUCAUAAUUCAGAAAAACAUUUUUUUAUAGCAAGUGAGUGGAAGUAACCCUGGGUGGAAUGAUAUGUUUUGAGCCUGAAAUUGAAACUUUAGCCUAAAAGUCUCUUCUACAAAGUUUUUCCUUAUAGUUAGGCCCUCAUUUUUAUGACAAUGAAUUCUAGGGUGGUUCUUAUUAUCAUUAAAAUCAAAAAUUUAACUUUUUUGUUUGAAUAAAUUAAGGUAUACAUUUUUUGGCAAAGUUAUGGCUGAGCUUAUUUCAAGCAACUUUGUUGAAAACAACUUUUUUGUAUCUUUUUGGCCGAUUUAAAGCUAUUUUCCUGAAUUGAGUUAGGGUGGCGCUAAAAAAACAGUUAUUUUGCUCUAGUUUUCUUGUUUCGAAUUUCUCAGCAAAGGUGUCUUCAAAUAACUUUUAGAUCUAGCUAACCAAUUGAAAUGUUAAACCAUAUGUUGAAACAUAAAAACCCAGAAAAUAAACGUAAAUUUUACUACUACUGUGCCUCAACUCAUUUUCGCUUCGGACGGCGGGUAAGCAGGUAGCAGCAGCAGCAAAAGCAGUAGGAACAUAGAGGUAACUCUAAGACCACUGGGUCCCGAAGAAAAUCAUUAUUAUUUUUGGCUCACUCAGUACCAGAACAACGGUCCCAAGCAGUCCCAAGCUAUUUCACUCACCCCUGCAU